rnacentral:rRNA from 1 species
UACGAAGGGGACUAGGCGUUGUUCGGAAUCACUGGGCGUAAAGCGCACGUAGGCGGAUUGUUAAGUCGGGGGUGAAAUCCGUGGAGCUCAACUCCAGAACGUGCCUUCGAUACUGGCGAUCUUGAGUCCGGGAGAGGUGAGUGGAACUCCGAGUGUAGAGGUGAAAUUCGUAGAUAUUCGGAAGAACACCAGUGGCGAAGGCGGCUCGCUGGCCCGGUACUGACGCUGAGGUGCGAAAGCG